rnacentral:rRNA from 1 species
GACGAACGCUGGCGGCGUGCCUAAUACAUGCAAGUUGAGCGCUGAAGGUUGGUACUUGUACCAACUGGAUGAGCAGCGAACGGGUGAGUAACGCGUGGGGAAUCUGCCUUUGAGCGGGGGACAACAUUUGGGAACGAAUGCUAAUACCGCAUAAAAACUUUAAACACAAGUUUUAAGUUUGAAAGAUGCAAUUGCAUCACUCAAAGAUGAUCCCGCGUUGUAUUAGCUAGUUGGUGAGGUAAAGGCUCACCAAGGCGAUGAUACAUAGCCGACCUGAGAGGGUGAUCGGCCACAUUGGGACUGGGACACGGCCCAAACUCCUACGGGAGGCAGCAGUAGGGAAUCUUCGGCAAUGGACGAAAGUCUGACCGAGCAACGCCGCGUGAGUGAAGAAGGUUUUCGGAUCGUAAAACUCUGUUGGUAGAGAAGAACGUUGGUGAGAGUGGAAAGCUCAUCAAGUGACGGUAACUACCCAGAAAGGGACGGCUAACUACGUG